rnacentral:rRNA from 1 species
AGAGUUUGAUCAUGGCUCAGGAUGAACGCUAGCGGCAGGCCUAAUACAUGCAAGUCGAACGGGAUGGUUCAGCAAUGAACUGUUCAGUGGCGCACGGGUGCGUAACGCGUAUGCAACCUACCUUAAACUGGGGGAUAGCCUUCCGAAAGGGAGAUUAAUACCGCAUAAGAUCACGAGAGGGCAUCUGAUUGUGAUUAAAGAUUUAUUGGUUUAAGAUGGGCAUGCGUGCCAUUAGCUAGUUGGUAGGGUAACGGCCUACCAAGGCUACGAUGGCUAGGGGUUCUGAGAGGAUGAUCCCCCACACUGGCACUGAGAUACGGGCCAGACUCCUACGGGAGGCAGCAGUAGGGAAUAUUGGGCAAUGGACGCAAGUCUGACCCAGCCAUGCCGCGUGCAGGAAGAAGGCCUUCUGGGUUGUAAACUGCUUUUAUCUGGGAAGAAAUAACCCCUGCGGGGGGAACUGACGGUACCAGAGGAAUAAGCACCCCGGCUAACUCCGUGCCAGCAGCCGCGGUA